CACAAAAUUAGUAUAACCACAUUGAACUAACCAAUAUUUCAAAACAUUUAUGUUAUGGAGACUAGACAUGAAAGUAGAAAAGUGGGAUUAUAAUGCAAUAGAUUACUAUUGGGAAACAAAACACUAGCAACUAUAGAUUAAAAACGACGAAAAGGGGGGGGGCUAGGGUUUUAGCGAUCACCAUAUUCACACACACAGUCGGAGAGAGAGUGUGAGAGAAAUUUAGAGAAGAUGAAGACAAUUCUGUCAUCAGAAACCAUGGAUAUCCCCGACGGCAUCACCAUCAAGGUGAAGGCGAAGCAAAUCGAAGUUGAAGGACCAAGGGGAAAGCUUGUGAGAAACUUCAAGCAUCUCAAUCUCGAUUUCCAGCUGAUCAAGGACGAGGAAACUGGACAGAAGAAGCUGAAGGUUGAUGCCUGGUUUGGAUCUCGAAAGGCUACUGCUUCUAUCCGUACCGCUCUUAGCCAUGUUAAUAAUCUCAUCGUUGGUGUUACCAAGGGAUACAGAUACAAGAUGCGUUUUGUGUAUGCUCACUUUCCGAUCAAUGCCUCCAUCACCGGAGGUAACAAGUCCAUUGAGAUCCGUAACUUCCUUGGCGAGAAAAAGGUUAGGAAAGUUGACAUGCUUGAUGGAGUAACAGUUGUUCGAUCUGAGAAGGUUAAGGACGAGCUUGUGUUGGAUGGAAAUGACAUUGAGCUCGUUUCUCGCUCUGCUGCCCUCAUUAACCAAAAAUGCCAUGUGAAGAACAAAGAUAUCCGUAAGUUCCUUGAUGGUAUCUACGUCAGCGAGAAGGGAAGAAUUGCUGAGGAAGAGUAGAUAGUUAGCAAUAGAUUUCUCUUGAUCUGUUUGUUCCCCAUAUUUUUGUUUUAAGCGCCGAGAUUAUAUUAAGAUUCCUUGCAAUUUGAGUUUAGAUUAAACAAUUUUGAAUUUAAGAUAUUCUUGCUUGAAGUUUCUUUCUUGAGCAAGCAGUUGUUUGUUCUUGAAGUAGGGCAUGUGAAGUGUUUUUCUUGAAAAGCUAUUUGGUUAUAGUAAUUCUCAAU
rnacentral:misc_RNA from 1 species